GAGGAGGGGCCGGUCUCCUGGAUGCCCCUCCCCCUUGCUCAACCCUCCUGCCCACGACCUCACCUGGGGCCCACAGGCCAGGGGGCGCGGAUGAACACGAGCGGAUGCGGGGAAUGCCUCCCCUGCUCCAGGCUCAGCGUCGGCCCCCGGCAUGAAAUCCAGGGCUUGGCGCAGUAAAUAUUUCGUCUCGGAAGCUGUUCCCCUUUCUCGUUCUCGGGGACCUGAGCCUUCAUCUCAUUGGAUGGAAACCAAGAUGCCCACUGUGUGACCCACAUAGAGGGAAUGAGGACCUUUCCAGACUGCCUGAGAAAACCGAAACGUGGCCACCGAAAACACCACUUUCCGGGAGCCCCAGACUGGAAGACUGCAGGUGCUGGUGGUCAGGAUUUCAGCUUGCACCAAAACCUGAAGUCAGGAGUUCCUGGACUCCCCUGGAACCACAGUCCCCGUGGUAUCCACUGAAAACGCAGGCGCUGGUCCCCCUCCUCAAGACCCAGCCUCCAUUUGUAAAAGGAAUAGGCUCCAGGAACCCACUUUUAAGAAGCGGCCAGGCACGAGGGCGAUCCACAGGUCAAUCUGCUUUGAAAAAGACCUGACUGAAUUCAUCAAGGACAGAUCUAGGAAUUCCUUGUAGAUACACUUAAAAAAAAACUGAAGAUUCCAGGGUAACAUUUCAUAAUGUAGAUUCUCUACCCAUGUAUCACGAAUGUAUUCCUCCUGAAAUGUGGGACUACGUGGCUGAAACGCUCUGGGAGAUGACGGCGAGGAGGGAGUUAGUUUAAAACAUGUACGCUUGUCGAGGUGUGGAGCCGUUCCAGAUCCUGGGCUUGCUGAUGUGAACAACGCAGACUGCAGGCUCCUUUCCUGACACCUGAAGUCUACUAAGGUUAACUCGAAUCACUUAUGAAUCCAGGAGUCAGGAUCUGGCAUCCGGGGAACGAUGUCGCAGCAUAUGAUUCGGGAGAAGUCAGCAGUGCCUUAAUGUCCAUUUCCCUCAAAGCAAGUCUUCACCUGCUGAAAAGUUAAGGUGUCUGUCCUCCCACUCACUCAAAUCCUAGCCGAUUAGCUGGCUAUCCUUACUCCUCACUGAACCUAUUCAGAAUUCAAAUUACGAGAACCUAAAAUAGUGCCCCGCGUGGGCAGUCUUCUCCUACCAGCUAAAAAUGCUCCAAGCUCCUGCUGAAUCACCACAUUCAAUCACAUGGUGAUGACAAGAAAUUAACUGCAGAUGGGUGGCAUUUUAUAUUGACUGCCAUCCCCCAAGAAACGUACAAAGAAACGUCUCAAAUAGAUGAAGAAUCUCCUCCUGACGCAGAGAUCUCACGUCCAACCUAGAAAGACAGCGACAAGGCAUCCUGAGUCCUGCUUACCGGAGAUGCGUUCAAAGCAAGCUGAGUCGCAGCUGCAGAAGUGGACCGAUUCCCUUGGCGGGUGCGGGUUUCACCACUUUGUACCUAUAAAAACGAGCUGCUCUCCCAGGA